rnacentral:rRNA from 3 species
GGGUUGUGAGGUUAAGCGACUAAGCGUACACGGUGGAUGCCCUGGCAGUCAGAGGCGAUGAAGGGCGUGCUAAUCUGCGAUAAGCGCCGGUAAGGUGAUAUGAACCGUUAUAACCGGCGAUACCCGAAUGGGGAAACCCAGUGUGAUUCGUCACACUAUCAUUAACUGAAUCC